AAAAUAAUCCUACCCUUUGUGAAUUUUGUUUGUUUGAAUAAUUUUUUUUUUUAAAAAUUAUUGGAGUCUUUCCUUUAGAGUUUGCUUUUGAGUUUGUAAAAGAAUUCGAAAACAUCUAAAGGGGAUGGUCAAUAAUUUUUUUUGAAAAAAGACAUUUUUUAAAAUUAAACUUUUGUAUUCAUUUGUCUAAAAUUAUUUUUAUAAUAUAAAAACAACUUUUGACAAUGGAUCUCUUGGUUCUCGCAACGAUGAAGAACGCAGCAAAAUGCGAUAAGUAGUGUGAAUUGCAGAAUACGUGAGUCAUCGAUCUUUGACGCAUAUUGCACUUUCUUAGUUUACUAAAAAAGUAUGUCUGUUUGAGUAUCAGUAAAAUAUUCUCAUAAAAAUCAUUGUGUAUUUUUAUGGUAUGAGUGUUUUACAACGAUACAAGUUGUUUCACUUUAAAUUUUUUUUAAUAUUGAAAUUUUUCUAAUUUUAAUAAUUAAAAUUGGAUAAAUUUUCCCGUCAAAAGGAAUAACCUAAACAAUUUUAAAUGAUUAAUUUUAGCAAAAUUUCGAAAAAGGAAAAUUUUUAUUAAAAUAACUUGAUCUCAAACCAGAUAAGAGUACCCGCUGAACUUAAGCAUAUCAAUAAGCGGAGGAAAAGAAACUAACAAGGAUUCCCUUAGUAACGGCGAGUGAAGCGGGAAGAGCUCAAAUUUGAAAUCUUCAAGGUUUUACCUUGACGAAUUGUAGUUUAAAGAAGUGUUUUCUGCUGAAGUUUGGUAAAAGUUCUUUGGAAUAGGACAUCAUAGAGGGUGAGAAUCCCGUAUUUGACCAUUAUUUUCAGCUUGUGAUACACUUUCAAAGAGUCGGAUUGUUGGGAAUGCAGUCCAAAAUGGGUGGUAAAUUUCAUCUAAAGCUAAAUAUUGGCGAGAGACCGAUAGCGAACAAGUACCGUGAGGGAAAGAUGAAAAGAACUUUGAAAGAGAGUUAAACAGUACGUGAAAUUGUCAAAAGGGAAGCGUUUGACACCAGUGUUGUUUUCUCGAAAAUCAAUUAAAAAUGGCUCGAUUUUGUAUUGCUGAGACCUUAAAAGCUCACUGUACAUUUUUCGUGUCUUUUUUAAUGCACUUUUCGUUUAACAAGUCAACAUCAGUUUCUUUUGUUGUAAAAGGGUCAUUGGAAGGUGGCUUCCUUUCGGAGAAAGUGUUUAUAGCCUUUGGCCUCUGCAAUCGAAGAGACUGAGGUCUGCAGCGUAGACUCUUCGGGUUAGAUACAUUUGUGCUAAGUUAUAGCUUUUUAUAGACAACUUGUUGACUAUAAUUAGUCUGUAGCUUACUCGCUUAUGCUAUUUACCUACGCUUAGGAUG
rnacentral:misc_RNA from 1 species